CUUUACUCGUUGCGUAAUAUGAUAAUGAGAUGAAGAAUUAUGUUUGGAAUUUUAAGAAUUAAAUAGUGAUAUGGCAGCGUAGUUACUGUGGGAGCUUACGAGUUCUAUUGGCUCAGAUAGAGAGGCUAACAGGGUUCAAACACAGAAAAGUCCCGUGAUCUCCCUUGUUAUUAUCAACAGAUUUAUCUGUUGAUUGACCAUCCAAGGGCAAAACACCCUCAGUCUCAAGAGGAUGAAGCUGUUAUACUCACAACCUUUCUCUUACGCUUCACUCAUAUAAUGAUGUCGACACGCUACUCACUUGUUUAGAAACUUAAAAAUCAAGUAAAAUUAUAUAAAUUUUAGCAAAGUGUAUAAAUAAAUCACAAUAAAAAGAAUUU